UGUAAAUCACUUACUUGUGCCUGUUCAUGGUCAUUUGCAUUCAGAAACGCCCUGAUUUAACCAUAUAUAGAAACAGAACAUCCCUUCAAAAUUACCCAAAAAUCAUCUG